rnacentral:tRNA from 1 species
GGGUAGAGUUACCAGAUGGGCGCUGGGGCAGGCUGUAAACCUGCCGUCUUACGGCUCGCUAGGUUCGACUCCUAGUCUACCCACCA